CUACGGGCGGCUCCAGUGAGGAAUAUUGCGCAAUGGGGGAACCCUGAUGCAGCAACGCCGCGUGGAGGAUGACGCAUUUCGGUGUGUAAACUCCUUUUAUAUGUCAAGAAAAUGACGGUAGCAUAUGAAUAAGCACCGGCUAACUCCGUGCCAGCGGCCGCGGUAAUACGGAGGGUGCAAGCGUUACUCGGAAUCACUGGGCGUAAAGGACGCGUAGGCGGGUUGGAAAGUCAGGUGUGAAAUCCUACAGCUUAACUGUAGAACUGCACUUGAAACUUCUAAUCUAGAGUAUGGGAGGGGGAGAUGGAAUUAGUGGUGUAGGGGUAAAAUCCGUAGAUAUCACUAGGAAUACCUAAAGCGAAGGCGAUCUCCUGGAACAUUACUGACGCUAAGGCGUGAAAGCGUGGGGAGCAAACAGGAUUAGAUACCCGCGUAGUC
rnacentral:rRNA from 1 species